rnacentral:rRNA from 1 species
GCAACCCGCCUGUAUGAAGUUGGAAUCGCUAGUAAUCGCGGAUCAGCAUGCCGCGGUGAAUACGUUCCCGGGCCUUGUACACACCGCCCGUCACACCAUGAGAGUCGGGAACACCCGAAGUCCGUAGUCUAACUUUCACGAGAGGACGCGGCCGAAGGUGGGUUCGAUAAUUGGGGUGAAGUCGUAACAAGGUACC